AAACCCUGAUGCAGCCAUGCCGCGUGUGUGAAGAAGGCCUUAGGGUUGUAAAGCACUUUCAGUGGGGAGGAAAGGUUGGCAGCUAAUACCUGUCGGCUGUGACGUUACCCACAGAAGAAGCACCGGCUAACUCCGUGCCAGCAGCCGCGGUA
rnacentral:rRNA from 1 species